rnacentral:rRNA from 1 species
GGAAUUUUGGACAAUGGGCGCAAGCCUGAUCCAGCCAUGCCGCGUGCGGGAAGAAGGCCUUCGGGUUGUAAACCGCUUUUGUCAGGGAAGAAACGGUUUGGGCUAAUACCCCGAACUAAUGACGGUACCUGAAGAAUAAGCACCGGCUAACUACGUGCCAGCAGCCGCGGUAAUACGUAGGGUGCAAGCGUUAAUCGGAAUUACUGGGCGUAAAGCGUGCGCAGGCGGCUUUGCAAGACAGAUGUGAAAUCCCCGGGCUCAACCUGGGAACUGCAUUUGUGACUGCAAGGCUGGAGUGCGGCAGAGGGGGAUGGAAUUCCGCGUGUAGCAGUGAAAUGCGUAGAUAUGCGGAGGAACACCGAUGGCGAAGGCAAUCCCCUGGGCCUGCACUGACGCUCAGCACGAAAGCGUGGGGAGCAAACAG